rnacentral:lncRNA from 1 species
UAUUUGCAAUGUAUUAAUCAUGAGCUAGUCGCCGUGCAGAGGGAUUGCUUCAGUUUAGCGUAGACGUCCGUUUCAAUUCCCUUCGUUUGUACAUGGUAGAGUGAUUUGGUUAGGGGAAUAUGAGUUCUCUGAAUGAAAGCACCAAUUGUUGGAACCAAAUUCGCGCACAUCCAUCAAUUGGCAAAGUUUAAUCAGACUAGCCCAUGAUCUCCGAUGAAGGGAGAAUGGGGUUGAUUUGAGGGGUGUGGUUGAAUCUGAAUAAGACUGCUUACAUAUUUCCGGGAAGGAGAAUCAAACCAUGCAUGUAGUUCUAUGAAAGAAUGGAAGGAACUAUCCUGACGAGUAGCUUAUGGCAGGGUGUUAAGGAGAUGAGUUCUCCAUUGACGUGUCUACGUGUACAUGGCGACGUAAGAGCCUCUGCUAGGCAUUGAGAGAAUAUGUGUGUUGUAGAGAAUAUCAGACUUAGGGAGAAGUAGAUUUCCCCUGAUAAAUACCCAUGGUAGUGUCUUAAUAGGGAUCUUGAGAGUUCUUGCAGAGAAAGCAAUCUUCAUCAAAUCCAUAUUACUAUUUAGGAGGAAAUUUAGGAUAAGAUAUCCAAUCUUCUUAGAAUCAUGAUCAUAUUACCUAAUUUGACCAUAAUUAGGAUUGCCCUUACUUGAGGGACAAGUAAUAUUUUUAAUAGGUUUUAACCCUAACUUGCCGGACUACGCUCAAUGGGCUUCGUGUAUUCCGAUCCUUUUUGCCAUCAAUCAUGGAUCCAGAAAAUCAUGGUCCCACAACAGCUCUCAGCCAAACUACCAUUUCAUCAUCAACUUUAACAACAGGGACUGAUACGGAUGGAAAUUGAGAAGGCGCUCAAAUGGGUACUCAUCACCUACGUUGGCCACAGUGAUUGCCGGUUUGCCUCCAGCAACGACAACAGUGUG